GGCUCGGCUCAGGCGGCGGCAGCAUCAAGCACCUGUGUCCGAACUGGCGGAGAGAGGAAAAUCGAGCCCCAACAGCGGCACCUGUUACUGGACUCAGCGCAGAAAUUAAGGGUAAAAUACACACACAGGAAACCAUCAGCAUCCAGAGUACAGAUAACAGCAGGAAAACAAGGAACUCGCACUCAAUUGAGGAUCCUUAAGGAAGUUAAACUGGGUCCUACUUUUGAGCAGCAGCAGGACAGCUAAUACCAGAUCUCAGGCUGGGAGGAGAGAAGAACCAUGCUCAGAUUGUCUCACCUCAGAAAUUCAUAUGAACAAUUUCCCAUGGUGGGAUACAAACAGAAGACAUUUUAAGGACAAUAAGACAGCAAUCAACACUCGCUUUUCAGCAUGGAUCAACAGUUUUUCUAUCAAUUUGUAUCUUGACUUACCUCUUUUACACUAUGUGUUACUGCCCACGUCAGGAAAACCCUUGACAUCACUUGGAAAGCAGUCAGAACAACAGAAGAG